UGGGGAAUAUUGCGCAAUGGGGGAAACCCUGAUGCAGCGACGCCGCGUGAGCGAAGAAGGCUUUCGAGUCGUAAAGCUCUGUCCUAUGAGAAGAUAAUGACGGUAUCAUAGGAGGAAGCCCUGGCUAAAUACGUGCCAGCAGCCGCGGUAAUACGUAUGGGGCGAGCGUUGUCCGGAAUUAUUGGGCGUAAAGGGUACGUAGGCGGUUUUUUAAGUCAGGUGUCAAAGCGUGGAGCUUAACUCCAUUAAGCACUUGAAACUGAAAGACUUGAGUGAAGGAGAGGAAAGUGGAAUUCCUAGUGUAGCGGUGAAAUGCGUAGAUAUUAGGAGGAAUACCGGUGGCGAAGGCGACUUUCUGGACUUUUACUGACGCUCGGGUACGAAAGCGUGGGGAGCAAACAGG
rnacentral:rRNA from 1 species